UCAUGUCAUCUGCAAAUAAUGACAGUUUUACUUCUUCCUUUCCAAUUUAUAUGCAUGCCUUUAUCUCUUUUUCUUGUCUAAUUGCUGUGGUUAUGACUUCCAAUACUCCUCAUGUUGAAAAAUGUAAUGACAGAGGAG